rnacentral:lncRNA from 1 species
UCGAAUGUUAAUAGUCCAAAUUAGUGGUAUAAAAGUGUUAGUACGGUUAGUAAUUUUUUAAAUACGAUUAAUUUGUUAGUUCCUAAUUAAAAUUAUGUUAAAACAGUUGUGAACAAGCAGUUAGACACGAAAACGAACAUCUAUAACAAUUACCAACUUAUAACAAAGAAAAGGUCCGAAAUCGGGCCUUUUCUUUUUGCGUUUCCUCGCGUGGUUUAUCCCGGAGGAACUUCUUUCAUCCGCAGUGAAGCCAAAGGACCAGUUUGGAGUGUAGGAAAGUUGGUUGGUGUGCCGAUAACCAGCUUAGUUCCGCCCGCCAUCUUGGAGCGUCCGUUCCAACAAUAGCAUCGACGCCAUUUUGAAAUUUCGGCCAUUGCAACAUCUCUACGGCUUCCUUCCCGCUUUCAACGUUCGGUCAGUCGGAUUAAGACCAAUCCCGA